rnacentral:rRNA from 1 species
UACGUAGGUGGCAAGCGUUGUCCGGAAUUAUUGGGCGUAAAGCGCGCGCAGGCGGUCCCUUAAGUCUGAUGUGAAAGCCCACGGCUCAACCCGUGGAGGGUCAUUGGAAACUGGGGGACUUGAGUACAGAAGAGGAAAGCGGAAUUCCACGUGUAGCGGUGAAAUGCGUAGAGAUGUGGAGGAACACCAGUGGCGAAGGCGGCUUUCUGGUCUGUAACUGACGCUGAGGCGCGAAAGCGUGGGGAGCAAACAGG